CCCUUAGAUGUUCUGGGCCGCACGCGCGCUACACUGAUGCAUUCAACGAGUCUAAAACCUGCUCUGAUAGGGGUGGGUAAUCUUUUGAAUGUGCAUCGUGAUUGGGAUAGAUGAUUGCAAUUUUUCAUCUCCAACGAGGAAUGCCUAGUAAACGCAAGUCAUCAGCUUGCAUUGAUUACGUCCCUGCCCUUUGUACACACCGCCCGUCGCUCCUACCGAUUGAAUGAUCCGAUGAAUAUCAUGGAUUGAGGAUGCAAGCAGGUUCGCCUGUCUUCAUCUUCGAGAAGUGAAGUAAAUCUUAUCAUUUAGAGGAAGGAGAAGUCGUAACA
rnacentral:rRNA from 1 species